rnacentral:lncRNA from 1 species
GAGGGUGGACCUGAUUCAACAGUGUCUCUCCAGUGGCAAGGAGGAAGCCUGCCUGUCACUCAGUAGGUGUUCACGAAAUGUUGGAGCGAAUGAACGCCCGCCUGUGUUUCAGGUAGCAGCCACCAGAUGGCAACAGUGUUCUUUGGGCUAUGAAGGUAACCGGUGAGCUUUCUGCAAGAGCACCUGAAAUAAAUGGAGAUUGGAAGAAUGCGUCUCCAAAGAGGCAACCCCCUCAUGGAAGUGGCCAUGUUUUUCUGUCUGGUUCGUCAGGCUACCUAGAAACCAGGGAAAUUGCCAAGGCUUGGAACAGCAAGGCCAGAGUUCUCAACUCUAACUCACAGUCCAAAUGUGAAUGCCUUGAAUCUGCAUUCUCUUACAUGGAAACACCUGGACGGUAAAAUUGUGAUUCAAACUACGUCCAUUGUCAGUAUCAUGGGGAUGCCUCUCCUUUCCCGAAAAGUUUUGUAACUUGGUCCAGCCGGUUUGGAUUUGAGACAGGAUGCAGGCUCGUAACUGAGAUCAGAGGAGCCAUCACCCACUUAGGAAACGCUCUGGAACGUCCACCAGGAGUUCAGGAACAGGGGCUAGGAGAAGAAGAUGGAUAAGAGAAGUGCCCUGUGCUCAGGGAGCUGGGACUCAGCGACCCAGGGUACCAGACUCCAAUCAAGACCACAGGAUGCAGUCUGUCUAUAUGAGGACUCUAGGUCAGUGCCGAGAAUCACCCUCUUUGGAAAAGUCAGGAAAAUCACAAUCUUUGGAAACCAAUGAAAGACUAUAGGCACUUAGUCUAGUCUUUCGCCUUCAUUAUCCUGGGCACCUAGUCGACUGGUCUCUGCUUGAAUUCCUCCAGUUCUGGGGAGCUCACGUCCUCUUGUUGUCAGGCUUCAGAACCUGUAUCAGGUUUCCCCAAGGCUGUAUUUCCCCUUGCCACUCCCACAUCUGGUCUUUCACCUGAUAGUGACAAUCACCCUGUGAUUUAGGCAGGGUCGUCGAGUGCCCACUUGACCAAGCAGUUACACUCAGUGUUGGUCAGUUUCAGUGAAAUUUGGCAAAGACAAUACUGGCACUCCGGCUGCUGAACUCCUUGCCCAACAUUUUUUUUUUUUUUUUUUAAAUCAUACAGCUCUGCCAUCAUGUUGGGAGUAGUCCAGACUCCAGAUUUCUGAUUUGAAACAUAACCACGCUACUAACCUUCCCAGCAAUCUGGGGGAGAAAGCAAAGGUUGGAACCAUAGGCCCUAGAAUUCCAACCUUCAUGAAGAACAAGCCAAUUGCCUGGGCUAGGGGCUGAGUCAAUGGGGAAGACAGCGGAGGGUCAAAGGGAUGCCUACUCUUCAUACUCUAUCUAGAGAUACGGAGUUAGAGGCUCUUUCUUCCUGUUUAGAUGACCUCUCUGUAG